rnacentral:rRNA from 1 species
CCUACGGGAGGCAGCAGUAGGGAAUCUUCCACAAUGGGCGCAAGCCUGAUGGAGCAACGCCGCGUGUGUGAUGAAGGGUUUCGGCUCGUAUUGCGGAUGUUGUUAGAGAAGCGACUCUGAGAGUAAC